rnacentral:lncRNA from 1 species
GUCAGGAGAUCAAGGCCAUCCUGGGCAACAUGGUGAAACCCUGUCUUUACUGCACUCCAGCCUGGCAACAGAACGAGACUCCGUCUCAAAAAAAAAAUUAGCUGGGCAUGGUGGCGCGUGCCUGUAGUAGGGCUCGGGAGGCUGAGGCAGGGGAAUCGCUCAAAAAAAAAAAACAACUGUGCCCAGAGGUGGGCACAGAAGACACCCUUGCCCUCCGACUCUGAAAAGCCCCUAAGACCAGAUCCCACUUAAUCUCUUUUCUCCUAAGGUCACCUGGUGUUCAGGAAAGAACUUCGGAGUGUCCCAGGCGCUGCCCCCAUGGGGGCCUCACCCAGUUGAGGUCCCCAUCCCAUCAUCUUAAGAGGAACACCACAGGUUAACCCAAGCGCUGCCUCUAGGCAGGAGAUCUGCAGACACCUGGUCUGCAUGGAACCUGGAGCACUAAUCCAUAAGUGGAGCCUGGGAAGGGGACCUUGUCCUAUCCCAGGACAGAGGAGAAAGCAAGUGAGUGUCAGGGUGCAGGGGCACACCUGGUCCAUCAGCCCAGUGCAGGGAGUCCUGCCAAUUUCAAAAGGCAAGGGUGGGGGCUUCAGACCAAGUGGUCCUGUGCUCUCCCCAUAAUAUUGCUAGGGAACAGAAAGAUCAUGGAUGUGUGCACAGAACACACUGAGAUAGCUUCACAGAUAGGGCCUCCACACACCCUCCUCAGUUCACCCACCACUUCCAUCAUUCUUGUGCUUAUGAUGGUCCUGAACCAAACGUUGAAGGUGCAGCAGUGGCCAAGAGCUGUCCUGGGCCUCCUGACAACUGAGGAGCUGGAUGCAGCGGGGCUCUUCUCAGCCCUGAGUCAGAGGUGAAGACUCUUCCGCCAUCCUGUCAUCAGAUUCGUUCUCCUAACAAGCUCGCAUCCUGGGCAGAGCUUGUUCGUGUGAUGCCCACUUUAGAGGUAGAGCUGGGAGAGAACAAGGUGUUCCCCCAGGGCUCCUUCGCCUGGGAAUCCAGCUCCUCCAGCUGGAGCCCCGAUGCUCUGAAGCUAGAGCCUCACUUUCUCCCAUCAAACUCUGGCUCUGCCCCUUCCCAGCUCUGGGAUUUUGGUCAAAUUCCUUGCCUUCUCUGUGCUGAAGUUCCCCUAUCUAAACAAUGGGGAUUGUUAUGAAGGCUAAAUGAAAUAAACAUGCAGCA